UAUUUUCUCUUUUGCUCCCCUUGAUGUUUUCAAAGCAGGGCUCACAGUUUCCUAGACCACUGGCUGAAGCUCUUCCCACGCAAAUUCUGUGGCAUUUUGAGACAGACAUACAUUUUUAGUCCACCAUACUCAUGAGAAAAGCUCAAUCUGAUGGACGUGUUCAAAAUAUACUGUUUGCAUGCAGCUGAGCACAUGCACAGCAGCUUCCCUCAUGAGGAACACUGGAGAAGGCCCCUCACUACAAGAAUGACAUCAAGGGCACUGGAACAUGUUCAGAGAAGGGCAAUGAAGCUGAGAGGUCUGGAGCACAAGUAUUACAGAGAGUGGCUGAGGGAACUGGGAUCACUCAGGGGAGACCUUAUUGCUCUCUACAACUCCCUGAGAGGAAGCUGUGGCGGGGUGGGGGUCAGCCUCUUCUCCUGCAUAAGUAGUGA
rnacentral:lncRNA from 1 species